rnacentral:rRNA from 1 species
AUUGAACGCUGGCGGCAUGCCUUACACAUGCAAGUCGAACGGUAACAGGUCUUCGGAUGCUGACGAGUGGCGAACGGGUGAGUAAUACAUCGGAACGUGCCUAGUAGUGGGGGAUAACUACUCGAAGGAGUGGCUAAUACCGCAUGAGAUCUACGGAUGAAAGCAGGGGAUCGCAAGACCUUGUGCUACUAGAGCGGCCGAUGGCAGAUUAGGUAGUUGGUGGGAUAAAAGAUUACCAAGCCGACGAUCUGUAGCUGGCCUGAGAGGACGAUCAGCCACACUGGUACUGAGACACGGCCCAGACUCCUACGGGAGGCAGCAGUGGGGAAUUUUGGACAAUGGGCGCAAGCCUGAUCCAGCAAUCCCGCGUGCAGGAUGACGGCCUUCGGGUUGUAAACUGCUUUUGUACGGAACGAAAAGCCCCUGCUUAAUACCCUGGGGUCAUGACGGUACCGUAAGAAUAAGCACCGGCUAACUACGUGCCAGCCGCCGCCGUAA